CCCUUGAAACGGUUACUCCAUUCUCUGUCCUAUCAGUCACCUGCUGGUGUGGGUGCCAAAUUGUAAAAUGUCAAGAUAAAAAAACAAAAACACAGAUAAGUAUUCAAAUUAAGAAAGACUCAUUCAGAAACACCUGACCUACUAUGAUCAGACAAAGUAUCUACUGAGAAGGAAGACCUGUCAAGGCACUGAUCCACAGUGUGGCGCCUCCCUUUAAGCACAUACUGAGACGGAACAGAUGGCAACCUCAACCGGAGAUGCCAUCACUACGACACAGCACACUCAGUGUCAGCAGGAGCAGGUGGAGGGCACUCUGCCACAUGCUGAACCAUCCGUCUGUUGCUGCCUGUCUCCAAAUCCCGCCAGGUACACAGCAUACCAAUCCAGCGAAGUGAGAGAGAGAGGGAGAGGGAGAGAGCGAGACGAGCACUCUGCCGCAAUUUCAAGACAUCGAACAAAACACUUGUGGGAAGAGAAAUCACAGCCAAGACAUCAGACAAAGACUGACUGUGAAGCAGCAGAACGGACAUCUUUGCUGGCUUCAGCUAUUUGUAUUUUCUAGGAUCUGUGAGUUUGUUCACUCCAUGCUGCCAGUUUAUGAAAAA